AUCCUGGCUCAGAUUGAACGCUGGCGGCAUGCCUUACACAUGCAAGUCGAACGGCAGCACGGGCAACCUGGUGGCGAGUGGCGAACGGGUGAGUAAUGCAUCGGAACGUGCCAUUGAGUGGGGGAUAACGUAGCGAAAGUUGCGCUAAUACCGCAUAUUCUGUGAGCAGGAAAGCAGGGGACCGCAAGGCCUUGCGCUCUUUGAGCGGCCGAUGUCAGAUUAGCUAGUUGGUGAGGUAACGGCUUACCAAGGCGACGAUCUGUAGCGGGUCUGAGAGGAUGAUCCGCCACACUGGAACUGAGACACGGUCCAGACUCCUACGGGAGGCAGCAGUGGGGAAUUUUGGACAAUGGGCGCAAGCCUGAUCCAGCCAUGCCGCGUGAGUGAAGAAGGCCUUCGGGUUGUAAAGCUCUUUCGGCCGGGAAGAAAUCGCAUGGGUUAAUACCCUGUGUGGAUGACGGUACCGGAAUAAGAAGCACCGGCUAACUACGUG
rnacentral:rRNA from 1 species